rnacentral:rRNA from 1 species
AUCGUACCCCAAACCGACACAGGUGGUCAGGUAGAGAAUACCAAGGCGCUUGAGAGAACUCGGGUGAAGGAACUAGGCAAAAUGGUGCCGUAACUUCGGGAGAAGGCACGCUGAUGUGUAGGUGAAGCCCCUGCGGGCGGAGCUGAAAUCAGUCGAAGAUACCAGCUGGCUGCAACUGUUUAUUAAAAACACAGCACUGUGCAAACACGAAAGUGGACGUAUACGGUGUGACGCCUGCCCGGUGCCGGAAGGUUAAUUGAUGGGGUUACCACUUUGUGAUUCAUGACUGGGGUGAAGUCGUAACAAGGUAACCGUAGGGGAACCUGCGGUUGGAUCACCUCCUUACCUUAAAGAACCUGCCUUUGUAGUGCUCACACAGAUUGUCUGAUGAAUGAUGAACUUCUGAAUGUACUUUUGAGUGCAUUAAGAAGUUUUGCUCUUUAAAAAUCUGGAUCAAGCUGAAAAUUGAAACGACACACAGCUCAUGUGUGUUCGAGUCUCUCAAAUUUUCGCAAGUCGAUGAUGAAUCGAAAGAAACAUCUUCGGGUUGUGAG